GACGAACCGUGCGAACGUUGUUCGGAAUCACUGGGCAUAAAGGGCGCGUAGGCGGCUUUUCAAGUCAGGGGUGAAAUCCGGCAGCUCAACUGUCGAAGUGCCCUUGAUACUGAUGAGCUCGAGGGAGGUAGGGGUGUGUGGAACUUCCGGUGGAGCGGUGAAAUGCGUUGAUAUCGGAAGGAACGCCGGUGGCGAAAGCGACGCACUGGACCUCUUCUGACGCUGAGGCGCGAAAGCUAGGGGAGCAAACAGG
rnacentral:rRNA from 1 species